rnacentral:rRNA from 1 species
CUACGUGCCAGCAGCCGCGGUAAUACGUAGGGGGCAAGCGUUAUCCGGAUUUACUGGGUGUAAAGGGAGCGCAGGCGGUUUUGCAAGUUGAGAGUGGAAGCAGGGGGCUCAACCCCCUGACUGCUCCCAAAACUGUAAAACUUGAGUAUGGGAGAGGCAGGCGGAAUUCCUAGUGUAGCGGUGAAAUGCUUAGAUAUUAGGAAGAACACCGGUGGCGAAGGCGGCCUGCUGGACCAAAACUGACGCUGAGGCUCGAAAGCGUGGGUAGCAAACAGGAUUAGAUACCCUGGUAGUCCACGCUGUAAACGAUGAAUACUAGGUGCUGGGAGGCAUAAGCCUUUCGGUGCCGUCGCAAACGCAUUAAGUAUUCCACCUGGGGAGUACGUUCGCAAGAAUGAAACUCAAAGGAAUUGACGGGGACCCGCACAAGCGGUGGAGCAUGUGGUUUAAUUCGACGCAACGCGAAGAACCUUACCCGGUCUUGAGAUCC